rnacentral:rRNA from 1 species
UAGAGAGAGACAUGCGCGCAUAUCAAUAAGCGGAGGAAAAGAAACUAACAAGGAUUCCCUUAGUAACGGCGAGUGAAGCGGGAAGAGCUCAAAUUUGAAAUCCUCAAGGUUUUACCUUGACGAAUUGUAGUUUAAAGAAGUGUUUUCUGCUGAAGUUUUGGUAAAAGUUCUUUGGAAUAGGACAUCAUAGAGGGUGAGAAUCCCGUAUUUGACCAUUAUUUCAGCUUUGUGAUACACUUUCAAAGAGUCGGAUUGUUUGGGAAUGCAGUCCAAAAUGGGUGGUAAAUUUCAUCUAAAGCUAAAUAUUGGCGAGAGACCGAUAGCGAACAAGUACCGUGAGGGAAAGAUGAAAAGAACUUUGAAAAGAGAGUUAAACAGUACGUGAAAUUGUCAAAAGGGAAGCGUUUGACACCAGUGUUGUUUUCUCGAAAAUCAAUUAAAAAUGGCUCGAUUUUGUAUUGCUUGAGACCUUAAAAGCUCACUGUACAUUUUUCGUGUCUUUUUUAAUGCACUUUUCGUUUAACAAGUCAACAUCAGUUUCUUUUGUUGUAAAAGGGUCAUUGGAAGGUGGCUUUCUUUUCGGAGAAAGUGUUUAUAGCCUUUGGCCUCUGCAAUCGGAGAGACUGAGGUCUGCAGCGUAGACUCUUCGGGGUUAGAUACAUUUGUGCUAAGUUAUAGCUUUUUAUAGACAACUUGUUGACUAUAAUUAGUCUUGUAGCUUACUCGCUUAUGCUAUUUUACCUACGCUUAGGAUGUUGAAGAUGUAGCACAUCAU